rnacentral:rRNA from 1 species
AUUGAACGCUAGCGGGAUGCUUUACACAUGCAAGUCGAACGGCAGCGCGGACUUCGGUCUGGCGGCGAGUGGCGAACGGGUGAGUAAUGUAUCGGAACGUGCCCAGUAGCGGGGAUAACUACGCGAAAGCGUAGCUAAUACCGCAUACGCCCUACGGGGGAAAGCAGGGGAUCGUAAGACCUUGCACUAUUGGAGCGGCCGAUAUCAGAUUAGCUAGUUGGUGAGGUAACGGCUCACCAAGGCGACGAUCCGUAGCUGGUUUGAGAGGACGACCAGCCACACUGGGACUGAGGCACGGCCCAGACUCCGACGGGAGGCAGCAGUGGGGAAUUUUGGACAAUGGGGGUAACCCUGAUCCAGCCGUCCCGCGUGUGCGAUGAAGGCCUUCGGGUUGUAAAGCACUUUUGGCAGGAAAGAAACGUCGCGGGCUAAUACCCCGUGGAACUGACGGUACCUGCAGAAUAAGCACCGGCUAACUACGUG